AAAAAGAGAGUUAAGUGAAGGAGAAAAUGUAAGUCUCCAAUUUAUUCUCGACAAAAGAGAAUAUUAUUGUUGUUGCGGGAACGCAUUCAUUUUGGUGGAGCUUUAGACUCAAUAACUUGUCCAGAGUUUGUUCGAGUCAUACGACGUUGUCAGACUAUUAUAUCCUGCAGGGGACAUGUCAAGAGUAUUAUUGCUCGACUGGUGA
rnacentral:lncRNA from 1 species